rnacentral:rRNA from 1 species
UACGAAGGGGGCUAGCGUUGCUCGGAAUCACGGGGCGUAAAGGGUGCGUAGGCGGGUUUUUAAGUCAGGGGUGAAAUCCUGGAGCUCAACUCCAGAACUGCCUUCGAUACUGAGAGUCUCGAGUCCGGGAGAGGUGAGUGGAACUGCGAGUGUAGAGGUGAAAUUCGUAGAUAUUCGCAAGAACACCAGUGGCGAAGGCGGCUCACUGGCCCGGUACUGACGCUGAGGUGCGAAAGCGUGGGGAGCAAACAGG